rnacentral:rRNA from 1 species
UUAGAGUUUGAUCCUGGCUCAGGAUGAACGCUAGCGGGAGGCCUAACACAUGCAAGUCGAGCGGGAUUUCCCUUCGGGGAUUGAGAGCGGCGCACGGGUGAGUAACGCGUAUGCAACCUGCCCUUUACAGGGGAAUAGCCCGGGGAAAUCCGGAUUAAUGCCCCAUAGCACCAGAAAGCCGCAUGGUUUUUUGGUUAAAGCUCCGGCGGUAAAGGAUGGGCAUGCGUGACAUUAGGUAGUUGGGGGGGUAACGGCCCACCAAGCCUACGAUGUCUAGGGGUUCUGAGAGGAUGAUCCCCCACACUGGUACUGAGACACGGACCAGACUCCUACGGGAGGCAGCAGUGAGGAAUAUUGGUCAAUGGGCGCAAGCCUGAACCAGCCAUCCCGCGUGAAGGAUGACGGCCCUAUGGGUUGUAAACUUCUUUUGUACGAGAAGCACGUGCGCUAUGUAUAGCGUAUUGACGGUACCGUACGAAUAAGCAUCGGCUAACUCCGUGCCAGCAGCCGCGGUAAUACGGAGGAUGCGAGCGUUAUCCGGAUUCAUUGGGUUUAAAGGGUGCGUAGGCGGCCCGGUAAGUCAGCGGUGAAAGUUUGCGGCUCAACCGUAAAAUUGCCGUUGAUACUGUCGGGCUUGAGUUCAGAUGAAGUGGGCGGAAUGAGUAGUGUAGCGGUGAAAUGCUUAGAUAUUACUCAGAACACCGAUUGCGAAGGCAGCCCACUAAACUGCGACUGACGCUGAUGCACGAAAGCGUGGGGAUCGAACAGGAUUAGAUACCCUGGUAGUCCACGCCGUAAACGAUGUUCACUCGCUGUUUGCGAUAUAUUGCAGGGGGCCAAGCGAAAGCAUU